rnacentral:rRNA from 1 species
UACGAAGGGGGCUAGCGUUGCUCGGAAUCACUGGGCGUAAAGGGUGCGUAGGCGGGUCUUUAAGUCAGGGGUGAAAUCCUGGAGCUCAACUCCAGAACUGCCUUUGAUACUGAAGAUCUUGAGUUCGGGAGAGGUGAGUGGAACUGCGAGUGUAGAGGUGAAAUUCGUAGAUAUCGGGAGGAACACCUGUGGCGAAAGCGGCGCACUGGACCAUAACUGACGCUGAGGCGCGAAAGCGUGGGGAGCAAACAGG